rnacentral:rRNA from 1 species
CUUGGUCAUUUAGAGGAAGUAAAAGUCGUAACAAGGUCUCCGUUGGUGAACCAGCGGAGGGAUCAUUACAGAGUUGCAAAACUCCCAACCAUUGUGAACCUACCUCACCGUUGCUUCGGCGGGUGGCCCGGGGCAACCCGCGCCGCGCCGGCCCCCUCUUCGGGGGCCCGGCAAACCCGUCAGAGGACCGAAACUCUGUUAUUACUGGCCUCUCUGAGUAACUUAUACAAUAAGUCAAAACUUUCAACAACGGAUCUCUUGGUUCUGGCAUCGAUGAAGAACGCAGCGAAAUGCGAUACGUAAUGUGAAUUGCAGAUUUCAGUGAAUCAUCGAAUCUUUGAACGCACAUUGCGCCCGCCAGUAUUCUGGCGGGCAUGCCUGUUCGAGCGUCAUUUCAACCAUCAAGCCCCUGCGCUUGUGUUGGAGCCCUGCGGCUGCCGCAGGCUCCCAAACCCAGUGGCGGGCUCGUCGUCGUACCGAGUGCAGUAAACUUACCACGCUCAGGGCACGCGACGGGUGACCGGCCGUAAAACGCCCCCCUUCUCAAGGUUGACCUCGGAUCAGGUAGGAAUACCCGCUGAACUUAAGCAUAUCAAUAAGCGGAGGA